rnacentral:rRNA from 1 species
AUUGAACGCUGGCGGCAGGCCUAACACAUGCAAGUCGAACGAGUGGCGGACGGGUGAGUAAUGUCUGGGAAACUGCCUGAUGGAGGGGGAUAACUACUGGAAACGGUAGCUAAUACCGCAUACCAUCGGAUGUGCCCAGAUGGGAUUUGCGAGUAGGUGGGGUAACGGCUCACCUAGGCGACGAUCCCUAGCUGGGCUGGGAGGAUGACCGGCCACACUGGAACUGAGACACGGUCAAGAUUCCUACGGGAGGCAGCAGUGGGGAAUAUUGCACAAUGGGCGCAAGCCUGAUGCAGCAAUGCCGCUUGGAUGAAGAAGGCCUUCGGGUUGUAAAGUACUUUCAGCGGGGAGGCGUUACCCGCAGAAGAAGCACCGGCUAACUCCGUGCCAGCAGCCGCGGUAAUUC